rnacentral:lncRNA from 1 species
GGCAAGAGUACCUUCAUGAGAAGGCUAACAAGUGUGUUCGGGGGCGCCGCGGAGCCGCCCAAGGGCGGAAACCCGGACUCGAACACACUUAUCAGUGACACAACCACCGUGAUAUGCUUGGAUGAUUACCAUUCAUUGGAUAGAACUGGAAGAAAAGAGAAGGGUGUGACUGCACUUGAUCCAAGAGCCAAUGAUUUUGACCUCAUGUAUGAACAAGUUAAGGCUCUUAAGGAAGGAAUUGCAGUUGAGAAACCUAUUUACAACCAUGUCACUGGUCUCUUGGAUCCACCAGAAGUCAUCAAACCUCCCAAAAUCUUGGUCAUUGAAGGUUUGCAUCCAAUGUAAGUACAUAUCCUUUCAUCAUUUCUAGUUAUAAUUUCUUACUUUUUCUUAUAAAUUAGUAAUAUUUUAUUGAAAGUUAGCUCAAUGUUGUCUUAGUGCAUAUGUAUGUUACAGUUGUUUGAUAUUUUCCCAAUAAAGUAAGGUGUUUGUGUGAAGAAUAUAAGAUUAAAUUGGGACACGGGUCGUUAUGCUGAAUGAUACCUUAUCUAUCUCUCCAUAGAUUGUAUGGCGCUCAGGAAUUUUGAUAGAAAACUUUCUAACCUUCCAAGAUAUGGUGGGUCCUUGGCAUGCAUGCCUACGUGGAUUUUAUGUAUAUAAUUUUCUGGAAUAAUUAAUACAGUUAGG